rnacentral:rRNA from 1 species
AAUGAACGCUGGCGGCAUGCCUAACACAUGCAAGUCGAACGAAGGCUUCGGCCUUAGUGGCGCACGGGUGCGUAACGCGUGGGAAUCUGCCCUUGGGUUCGGAAUAACAGUUAGAAAUGACUGCUAAUACCGGAUGAUGUCGUAAGACCAAAGAUUUAUCGCCCAAGGAUGAGCCCGCGUAGGAUUAGCUAGUUGGUGGGGUAAAGGCCCACCAAGGCGACGAUCCUUAGCUGGUCUGAGAGGAUGAUCAGCCACACUGGGACUGAGACACGGCCCAGACUCCUACGGGAGGCAGCAGUGGGGAAUAUUGGACAAUGGGCGAAAGCCUGAUCCAGCAAUGCCGCGUGAGUGAUGAAGGCCUUAGGGUUGUAAAGCUCUUUUACCCGGGAUGAUAAUGACAGUACCGGGAGAAUAAGCUCCGGCUAACUUCGUGCCAGCCGCCGCUGUAAUAC